rnacentral:rRNA from 1 species
CCGCUUUUGGAUGGGCCCGCGGCGCAUUAGCUAGUUGGUGGGGUAAAGGCUUACCAAGGCAAUGAUGCGUAGCCGAACUGAGAGGUUGAUCGGCCACAUUGGGACUGAGACACGGCCCAAACUCCUACGGGAGGCAGCAGUAGGGAAUCUUCCACAAUGGGCGAAAGCCUGAUGGAGCAACGCCGCGUGGGUGAAGAAGGUCUUCGGAUCGUAAAACCCUGUUGUUAGAGAAGAAAGUGCGUGAGAGUAACUGUUCACGUUUCGACGGUAUCUAACCAGAAAGCCACGGCUAACUACGUGCCAGCAGCCGCGGUAAUACGUAGGUGGCAAGCGUUAUCCGGAUUUAUUGGGCGUAAAGGGAACGCAGGCGGUCUUUUAAGUCUGAUGUGAAAGCCUUCGGCUUAACCGGAGUAGUGCAUUGGAAACUGGGAGACUUGAGUGCAGAAGAGGAGAGUGGAACUCCAUGUGUAGCGGUGAAAUGCGUAGAUAUAUGGAAGAACACCAGUGGCGAAAGCGGCUCUCUGGUCUGUAACUGACGCUGAGGUUCGAAAGCGUGGGUAGCAAACAGGAUUAGAUACCCUGGUAGUCCACGCCGUAAACGAUGAAUGCUAAGUGUUGGAGGGUUUCCGCCCUUCA